rnacentral:lncRNA from 1 species
AGUAGCAUGGUAGAAUUGUAUAGGUAAUACUUAUAAAAAUAAAGAAGGUAUUAAUGCAUAUGUACUCAAAGAAAUGUUACAUACCCCCAAUACUAGUUCAUCUAGAAAAGUAGUAUAGAUUAAUAAUUCUCAUUCUGACAGAAAAUUAAUGAGAAAACACCGACCUGCAUAACAGAGAAGUAAACCAAGGAGAGAAGUAAACCAAGGAGUUCCCGUCAUGGCUCAGUGGUUAACAAAUCCGACUAGGAACCAUGAGGUUGCAGGUAUGAUCCCUGGCCUCGCUCCGUGGGUUAAGGAUCCUACAUUACUGUGGCUGUGGUGUAGGCCAAGGCCAGUGGCUACAGCUCCGAUUAGACCCCUAGCCUGGGAACCUCCACAUGCUUUGGGUGCAGCCCUAGAAAAGACAGACAAAAAAAAAAAAAAAAAAAAAAAAGAAAAAAGAAAGAAAAGAAAGUAAACCUAAUGGAAAUAUACAGAACAUUUCAUCCAAGGACCCCAGAAAACACAUUCUUCUCAAGGGGACAUAAAACAUUCCUUAGGAUAUAGCAUUCCUGGGCCACAAAGCUAAUCUUAACACAUUUAAAAUUAAAAUCAUAUCUCAGCUUUUCAACCACAAUAAUAGGGACUAGAAACCAACAGGAAAAAAAUCUGAAAAAUUUACAAAUACAUAGAAAGUAAACAACACUCUCAAAUAACCAGUGGGUCAAAAUAGAAAUUGAAAGAAAUCACUAACUUGAAAAGAAUAAAAUAAAAAUACAAAAUAACACAAUUUAGGGAAUAUAUCAAAAGUAGUUCUUAUGUGACUACAUUUUUUUUUUUUUCCGUCUUUUUAGAGCCAUACCUGUGCCUGGGAACCUCCAUAUGCCAUGAGUGCAGCCCUAAAAGGACAAAAGACAANAAAAAAAAAAAAAAAAAAAAAAAAAAAAAAUCUGAUGAAUGACAGAGGAGACAUCAAAGAAAUACAGAAGACUGUAAGAGUAUAUUAUUAACAAUUACACACCAAAUAAUUAGAUAGAAAUUCCCAGAUGCAUGAAGCCUACCAAGCCUAAAUCAUGAAUACAAAGUCUGAACAGACUAAUAAUAAACAAGGACAUUGAAAUAAUAAACACAAAACUCCCAACAAAGAAAAGCCCAAGACCAAAUGGUUUCACUGGUGAAUUCUACCAAACAUUAAAAAAUAACACCAAUCACUGUCAAACUCUUCCCAAAAAAUUGAGGGAACAGUCCUAAGCUCUUUUUAUGAGGAGAGCAUUACUCUGACAACAAACCCAGAUAAGGAAGCCUAUACAAAAAUAAAUGUAUAGGCUGAAAUGCUUAAUGAAUAUAAAUGCAAAAAUUUCUCAGCAAAAGUCUAACCAAAUUCAACAGUUUAUUAUAAAUAUCAUCCACUGUGAUCAAGUGGAAUUUAUCCCUGCAUGGAAGGAUGGCACGAUACCGCUAUAUAUGACAUGAUAAGGGUGAUACACAAUGUUAAUAGAAAGAAUAAUAAAUAUAUGAUCCUUUCAACAGAGGUAGAAAAAGCUAUUAACAAAAUUCAAUACUCUUUUAUGAUAAAUGCUCUCAGCAGAUUGAGAACAAAAGGAACAUACCUCAAAAUAACACCAUAUAACACACACCCACAACUAACUGUGUACUCAGUGGUGAAGAACUCAAAGCUUUUCCUUUAUAAUUGGAAAUAAGAUAAGGGUACCCACACUCACUACUCUUACUAAAGACAGUGCCAAAAUCCUAAGCAGAGCAAUCCCACACAAAAAUAAGAAAAAGGCAUCUAAAAUGAAGAGGAAAAAGUAAAGCUUCCCUAUUUUCAGAAAACCUGAUCUUACAUAUAUGAUUCCUCCCAAAAAAAUGGUAAAACUAAUAAAUGAAUUCAACAAAGUUGUAGGAUACAGCAUCAACAUAACAAAAAUCAAUUGCAUUUCUAUAUACUACUAAUAAAACAUCUGAAAGAAAUAAUUCCAUUUACAAUUGCAUGAGAAAAAUACCGAGGAAUAAAUUUAACUGAAAAAUGAAAGACCUGUGUAAUGAAAAUUACAAGACAUUAAGGAAAGAAAUCGAAGACAACACAAAUAAAUGUUAAGAUAGCCUUUGCUCAUGAAUUAAGAGAAUAUUGUUAUAAAUGUCCAUACUUCUCGAAGCAAUGUACAGGUUCAAUGAAGUCCUCGUCAAAAUUUCAGUAGCUUUUUUCACAGAAAUAGAACAAAAGGAAUUCUAAAAUUUGCAUGGAACCACACUGGAAUCAAAAUAGCAAAAGUGAUGCUAAAAAAGAAAAAAACUGGAGGCUUCCUGCUCUAAGAUUUCAAACCGUAUUACAAAGCUAUGGCAAUAAAAAUAGUAUGGCAUUGACCCAAACACAAAGAUCCCUGGAGAAAACACUACAGAAAUAAACCUAAGCAUAUAUAAUCAAUUUAUGACAAAGGAGCCAAGAAUAUAAAAUAGGGAGAUAUACUAAUCUCUUUAAUAGAUGUUGUUGGUAAAACUGGGAGCUCAUUCUACCACGUGUACACCGGUGCUGGCAAAUGCCACUUUGGAAACCUCCUUCUAGCUUAUAGCCCCAACACCCAGCCCUGUCCAGAGCAACACCCUAGAGGAGCCAAUAGUGGGAUGCCUCAGGACAAGCAACCAACACAGCAUGGACACAGCAUCACCCACUGGCAGAAAGAUUGCCUUACAACCCUGUAAGCCCACAAUCACCCCAGACAUGAUCCUACCCAUUAGAGGGCCCAGGACCUGGUCCCAUGCUCUAGUGCACAGACACUCAACCCAAGACUCUCAGAGGCCUGUAGCCAGAGAACCUGGGACCCACUUCCAACCAACAGUGGGCAAGCACCAUUCUCAGGAUCCCAUGGGCCUGAGCCACACCCUCUAGUGUACCUGCCCUAACCUCAGUACCAGCUUCCCCAUCUAGGGGUGGAUACCAGCCAUAGGAAAACCAUAGCUCUGCAGUCUGUGGAUAUGGCCCACCUACCAGGAGACCAGAUCAUGCCCUGGGACUGGCUGGGCCCCAGCACUACCCACCAGUAAGUAUACUCUAGUCUCAGGCUCAGCUUCACACACUAGUAGGCAGAUACCAGGUACAAGAAACUGUAGCCCCACAGCCUGCAGACAUAGCCCACCCAUUAGCAUGCCAGGAUCAUUUCCUGGGACCAGCUUGGCUCUGGCCCCAAUCACUAGCAGUAUUAAGAGAAGGUUUAAGACACCCUGGGCCUGCAGUGAGCUAUGUCAGAAAGUAAUGCCACCCAUCAAUGAUCCAAUACAAAUUUGGGGACCUGCAAUCAGACUCCAGGACCUGGCUUAUUCACAGCAGGUGGCCAACAGCCCUGGGGUUUCCUGGAUUAGCAUUACCGGCUAACUCCACCCACACGUAAUGCAGCACUAGCCUGGGUUCCCCCAGGGUUCUGCAGUAAGCCACCUCCUGCAUGGUCCUAACAACCAGUAGCUAGCCAGAGGCAUCUGCACAAGGCAGGAGCCAGCAGCCAACCAGACCAGGGGCCAACCAUGCCUACCAGAGCACCCUCUAGUGAGCCCGCCACAACAGAAACACCCAUGCUGCUCUCAUAGGGAAAACUUCUAGAGCAUAAAGCUCUUAAUGAGAAGGGACUGUACUGCUGGGACACAUAGUAUGGCACCUGCAAAAGGUCACUUGUCCAACACUGGGAAACGUAACAAAUCUAUGAGAUACUAAAACUAUGAACAGCAAAAUGAGGGUGACAAAGGAACAUGUUCCAACCAAAGGAACAAGAUAAAACCCCAAAAGAACUAGGUGGAGAACGGCAGUCUACUCAAGAAUUUAGUGAUCAUAAAGAUGAUUGAAGAACUCAGGAGAAGAAUGUGUGCAAAGAAUAGUCAGAAAUUUUUAACAAAAUUUUAGAACAUAUAAUCAGAGAUGAAGAAUAAAGUAAGUGAAAUGAAAAACACGCUAGAAGGAAUCAACAGUAGAUUGAAUGAUACCGAGAGAUGGAUCUGGAAGACAGUAGUGGAAACCAUGAUAC